GUCUUCACAGACAAGGAGUUUUGUAACUCUUGUCAAGUGUCUAUAAAGUGGGCUUUGAUGGUUCUGGGGUGUCUGGCAUUCUUGAAUGGGAAAUAGUGUUAGGUUGCAAGGCAAUGUGUGGAUGACCCAUGGGCUGUCAAUGCAGUAUUGGUGAUCGAAGACCGAUCCUUCCCCCUCCAGAAGAGUCAUCUCACUAUUCCACAGCAAUGUAUGGAUAACCCCAAAGCUGUCGGUGCAGUAAUGGUGAUUGAGGAUAGAUCCUUCCCCCUCAAGAUGAUGUCUUUAUGCCGAUUUUGAUGCUCCCUCCACCACGCCUCUAGCCAGCACCGCUAGCAGUCCAUGUGCCGUCAGCCGCAGUAUGCCAGCUGCAUCUUCUCCCUUUUAGCCACCACCACCACUUGGUCCCCGGCUCGAUGCAUGGGGGGCAGGCUCCUCGCCCCUGCCUCUACCAUCGGCAGGAAUUGAGAUCCACUCAUCACAGGACGGAUCAGAGACUGGGCCUAUGCCAAGGAUUGUUGUUUAUUCAGAACUCUUUCAUAUACUUGUAUCAAAGCUAUUCUUUCUCAAAUUAAAUUGCUAUCUGCUUUUAA